rnacentral:rRNA from 1 species
CCCUUAGAUGUUCUGGGCCGCACGCGCGCUACACUGAUGCAUUCAACGAGUUUUUCCUGGUCCGAGAGGAAUGGGUAACCUUUUGAAAGUGCAUCGUGCUAGGGAUAGACUAUUGCAAUUAUUGGUCUUCAACGAGGAAUUCCUAGUAGACGUAGUUCAUCAGACUGCAUCGAUUACGUCCCUGCCCUUUGUACACACCGCCCGUCGCUCCUACCGAUUGAAUGGUCCGGUGAAGCCUCCGGAUUGGCGCGCACCUCGGUGCCGCCGAGAAGUUGGCUAAACCUUACCAUUUAGAGGAAGGUGAAGUCGUAACA